UGCACUUGUGGCGUCCUCCUCCUGGCGGACAUCUGCAAGUUCGGCGACGCCUUGUCGCAGAGGCCACUCGCUGACCACAGUGCACAACCAGAUGGUGUGCAACAAGUUUGGACUUGAGACCACCCGGGAACUGCUGUCUAUCCAAAAGUUGCAGCUCGCCUUUCAAGGAAGUGGUCGCGUGACAGAAGCAUUUUAUCACAAACGCCUGGAAGUGUGCUACAAGGCCGGCUCCGCGAGUCCUUGCUGUGAACAUCUGUGCAACAGAUUGCAUAUCUGCAGGCGAUUUUUGGCGGGG